AGGAUGAACGCUGGCGGUCUGCUUAACACAUGCAAGUCGAACGGAGUACCUCGGUACUUAGUGGCGGACGGGUGAGUAACGCGUGAGAAUCUGCCCUUAGGUCGGGGACAACCAUUGGAAACGAUGGCUAAAUACCGGAUAAGCCGAGAGGUAAAAGAUUAAUUGCCUAGGGAAGAGCUCGCGUCUGAUUAGCUAGUUGGUGAGGUAAAGGCUCACCAAGGCAUCGAUCAGUAGCUGGUCUGAGAGGAUGAUCAGCCACACUGGGACUGAGACACGGCCCAGACUCCUACGGGAGGCGGCAGUGGGGAAUUUUCCGCAAUGGGCGAAAGCCUGACGGAGCAAGACCGCGUGAGGGAGGAAGGCUCUUGGGUUGUAAACCUCUUUUCUGGGGAAGAACAAAUGACGGUACCAAGGAAUCAGCAUCGGCUAACUCCGUGCCAGCAGCCGC
rnacentral:rRNA from 1 species